GAUGAACGCUAGCGGCAGGCCUAAUACAUGCAAGUCGAACGGGAUUCUAGACUUCGGUUUAGAUGAGAGUGGCGCACGGGUGCGUAACGCGUAUGCAACCUACCCUUUACAGGGGGAUAGCUCGGGGAAACUCGAAUUAAUACCCCAUGGUAUCAUAAGAUCGCAUGGUUUAAUGAUUAAAGAUUUAUCGGUAAAGGAUGGGCAUGCGUCUGAUUAGCUAGAUGGCGGGGUAACGGCCCACCAUGGCGAUGAUCAGUAGGGGUUCUGAGAGGAUGAUCCCCCACACUGGUACUGAGACACGGACCAGACUCCUACGGGAGGCAGCAGUAGGGAAUAUUGGACAAUGGGCGAGAGCCUGAUCCAGCCAUGCCGCGUGUAGGAUGACGGCCUUCUGGGUUGUAAACUACUUUCCUACAGGAAGAAAAAGUCCAUGCGUGGACAAUUGACGGUACUGUAGGAAUAAGCACCGGCUAACUCCGUGCCAGCAGCCGCGGUAAUACGGAGGGUGCGAGCGUUGUCCGGAUUUAUUGGGUUUAAAGGGUGCGUAGGCGGCCCCUUAAGUCAGUGGUGAAAGCCCGCAGCUUAACUGCGGAACUGCCAUUGAUACUGGGGGGCUUGAGUACGGUUGAAGUAGGCGGAAUUUAUGGUGUAGCGGUGAAAUGCAUAGAUACCAUAAAGAACACCGAUAGCGUAGGCAGCUUACUAAGCCGUAACUGACGCUGAGGCACGAAAGCAUGGGGAGCGAACAGGAUUA
rnacentral:rRNA from 1 species